GCGGGGCGGGGGCGUGGAGGGGGCCGCCCGCGUGGGGUCGGCUGCGGCCCGGCAGAGUUGGCGCGCGAGGGUGUGGAAGCCGAGAGGUGAUCCUGCCGACAGCACCGCGGACGCGUGCGGGACGCUGUCCCCUGUCUACUCCGCGCUCCAAGGUGCCUGUGAUGAAUGACACAUCGAUCAACCCAUAGCCUUCAGACAUUGCCGUGUGAAGCCAAUGAAAGAUAUCUGCUGGUAACCAAAUGAUGAUCUUAUGAAAAGACCGCGGGGACUAUGAGCUAUCCUGGGGUUCCACGUGCCAGAGACAUGAAGAAAGCAGAGCGGUCCCAGAGAGAAGUGACCGUGGAGGAGGAGCUUCCGCCAGAAGCGAGGGAAUAGGGAAUGUGGACAAGUGUCUCCAAAACAGCUCCUCCACAAUGAUCACCCGACCCCCAGCCUCGGCCACAGGCAUUGCUUUGCUCCCUGAACCCAGUGUAAAGGGCUAAUGUUAUUAUUAGUCUGUUCCUUCUGUGAUCUUCCGCCAGGCCAGAGCUACCCAAGCGAACAAUAAUCAUUAUCAUCUCUGACAAUCUGAGAAGAUGAACUGCAAGGGAAAAAUUGAAAAAUUGCACGUGUGAGUUAUAUUACGUGUCUUAAUUUUAAAGCUAAGAUGAAACCACAGUGCACUGUAGCAUACUGUUAUUUAUCAGAGGCAAUUAUUAGGAAUGCCAGUUUGCAUAGUACAUAUUUGUGCCCAUAAAAACGCAGUACGUACUGACCCGUCUGGUCUCUGAAUUCCAGAUUGCUCUUUUGCCUGGAUAUCUUAAUUUCUUCCAGGCCCCAGACCAAACCAGACAAGUGACAAAGAGCUAUUUGCUCCUCUUGGUAGAAUAACAGGGUGUCCCAGAACAGAUCUCUUUGUGGGCGGCCAUGAGCGGACUGCCAGAGUUCUUGGCCCAAGGAGAAGGCUGAGGUCACAGUUUGGAGCAGGGUUCAGGCAGUGUGCCAGACCUGGAAGACCUUCUGAGCACUCCCGGGGGGAUCUUAAUGGGGAGGGGAAUGCCAACAGGGUCAGAAGUCUGACAGCUAUGCAGGUGGGAUUUGGCACUAGAUACAGCCGGGAUUACCUACUAAUGUAACAUCAUUUGUACCCCCAAAUUGGUAAAAUCUGGGAAGAAUCUGGGAUUACAAAUGCAGGUGCAUUUUCCUCUUUUUUGGAUAGUGCUUUAUAAUUAUUAUUAAGUUCUGGCAGGAGCCGGAGCUGGGCAUUUUAGACAAACGCUUGCACUUUGCACAUCCAGAAGUGGGGUUCCCAUUCUUGAGGUCUUCUAGAGAACCACAUUCUUCCCUCCUCACCCCUCCGUCAUAGAUCAGACAGGGAACCCUACUUUAAUUCGGAAAGGGGGACUAAACUUCCCUCUGGCCCCAGAUGACUUAUCUUUUUCCACGUUAUAAGGCCUUUUCGGCCUCCAGUUUCCUACCUUUCGACUUGGGUAUGACUAAUUCUGUUGCUCCUCCCUUCCCCCUUCCCUUCCCCAACCUCCAGUAGUCAGUACUUGGAGACAGUGCCAAGACCAUUGCAUGGGUUGGCUGACCUUGGCCUCAUCAGCUUGCCCCACAGCCAACCACCCAUCCCCACUCUAAAUGCACCAUAGUGAGGGAGAAGUUAGAGCUUGUGAACUCCAGGGAAACCUCUCAAAUGCCAGAGUUUGGCUUGGUCCCUUAUACUAUGAAGCAUUGACAAGCAUUUAAAAUUCCCCAGCACCUAUAUGAUUUUUUAACAAACACAGGACGUUCAAGCUAAGCUCUGUUUCUGAGACCAUGACACUUGUAUCUCUUAGCACUACUGGGGUAGGUGAGGGAAAACUUAUUUAUGCAGUCUUUCUGUGGAGCCUCAGACACAUUCAUGACCUCUGUGAGGAUGCCUCUCCUAGACUGUAUGACCACAGUUCCCUGCUAUCGUAGUGUCACUCAUUGUGGGCCACUGGCCAGUGGCUACUCAGGCGCUAUGGUAGCCUCUGUAGCCUUCAAGUGCAAGAAAUGAGUCUCAGGAGCCUUCUAAUUUUCCCAUCUCUAGCCCAAAUCUAUGUAUAAUAAGGGUUAUUUGAGGCCAGAGGUGAACAGGCCAAGCAAGUACCAAGACCUUUCUUUCAAACCCCAGUUCAGAGAGAACAUUGAACUUGCAUGUUAUGUGUUCUGAGCCUUAGCAACCUCCCUCCAGCCAGAGUCAGCCUGGCCUAAAUACCAAAGAGUGGUUGUAUAAUAUUGGUGAUUUAUUACCUCCUUUUCCCAUGUCAGAUUACUCGCAAAUGGUCAUCAUAAUGUUAAUCUUACAUCCUUCCUCCGUCCUUUCCUUUAUCAAUUGGAGAAAGCCAAAAUAUUUGCAGCAGACACACACAGACAGCACUUGGGGCUAGAUGUGAGGCAAAGCAUGUCAGACUUUAAGGUUUGAAGAUUUUGAUUCCUACAUCUCACUAUUGGUGUCAGCCCUCAAUAUCUGACCUCUGUAGGCCAGUGAUUCUGCUGGUCUGGGAAUCACACUUGAUAAUCACUUGUCUAGGUCAACAUGCCACCACAUAGAACCAAAUUUAAGUAACUUGUGUUUGGUUCUCUAUCUUGUGGUCAAAUUUAAAAGGCUAACUGCCCUUUUAUGUAUUUAAUCAUGAUUAGACUGAUCACUCUGGGUGACUGGCCAUAUUGGCCGGGAGUGUCAAGAUCAUUGUACCUAUGACUUCAAUCAGUUUUUGCAAACCAUUUAGCCUCAUGGUUAUCCUUUGCCAGGGGCUAUGCUUAAGAGACACAUCUCUUACCUGAACAAAACUAGAAAUUGUAACGUGUAGGGUGGAAACUCUGAUGAUAAAUAGAAUUUUGGUAAUAGACCCAAGUUAAGGACUUCGAUUUGGGGGGAAUCAAAUAUGUUCUAAAACCCUUUGACCACAUAAUUAUGCCUCUGAAAAAUAGUCUACACCAAGGAAAUAACCAAAAAUA